AUACUAAGAAUACACACAAGGAAAUUGAGAAUCAGCUCUUCCUGAUGGCACUUCUCAACAAGGAUGCCAAGGCUCUAUGCUUCGCAACCCUUAUUGUCAUGGCUAUGGUAUUCUCGUCUUGUGAAGCAGGAGGUAGUAGGUGCAGCGAUUUUUCCCCAUGCGACAACAUAUUGUGUGAGGUGCAUUGUGACGCACUAGGGUACAACAACCCUAGGCCACACUGCCUUUAUACCAAGAUUAGACAUAUGAGCGAUAAAUGUUGUUGUUAGGCUAAAACUGGGGCGUGUGUCCCAUGUUGAAAUAAUGUAUCAAUUUGGCCAAGAUGGUAAAGUCAAUAUAUCUCACCAACUAUGGAUGUUGGUUGACCGAUAAUAAUAAUAAUUUGUGAUGCUUAAAUUA